rnacentral:rRNA from 1 species
AACGCGAAGAACCUUACCAGGAUUCGACAUGCCCUCUAUGGAUUCCCGAAAAGGAAUCCUUCACUUCGGGUGGGAGGAGCACAGGUGCUGCAUGGCUGUCGUCAGCUCGUGUCGUGAGAUGUUGGGUUAAGUCCCGCAACGAGCGCAACCCUCAUUCUCUGUUGCUAACAGGUUAGGCUGAGCACUCUGAGAAAACUGCCGGUGAUAAGCCGGAGGAAGGUGGGGAUGACGUCAAGUCCUCAUGGCCCUUACAUCCUGGGCUACACACGUGUUACAAUGGCGAUGACAAUGGGUUGCUACCCCGCAAGGGGAUGCUAAUCUCUAAAAGUCGCCUCAGUUCGGAUUGUUCUCUGCAACUCGAGAGCAUGAAGCUGGAAUCGCUAGUAAUCGUGGAUCAGCACGCCACGGUGAAUACGUUCCCGGGCCUUGUACACACCGACAUA